UACGAAGGGGGCUAGCGUUGCUCGGAAUCACUGGGCGUAAAGCGCACGUAGGCGGAUCUUUAAGUCGGGGGUGAAAUCCUGGAGCUCAACUCCAGAACUGCCUUCGAUACUGAAGAUCUCGAGUCCGGGAGAGGUGAGUGGAACUGCGAGUGUGGAGGUGAAAUUCGUAGAUAUUCGCAAGAACACCAGUGGCGAAGGCGGCUCACUGGCCCGGUACUGACGCUGAGGUGCGAAAGCGUGGGGAGCAAACAGG
rnacentral:rRNA from 1 species